rnacentral:rRNA from 1 species
UUUUUUGAGAAUUUGAUCCUGGUUCAGGAUGAACGCUGGCGGCGUGCCUUAAGCAUGCAAGUCGAACGGUUUUUGUAGCAAUACAAAAGCAGUGGCAGACGGGUGAGUAACGCGUAGGAAUCUACCUCGGAGCGGAGCAUAGCUCAUCGAAAGAUGGGGUAAUUCUCCAUGGUCUCGUAAGAGUAAAGUCGUAAGACACUUCGGGAGGAGCCUGCGUCCUAUCAGCUAGUUGGUGGGGUAACGGCCUACCAAGGCAAUGACGGGUAGCUGGACUGAGAGGUCGAUCAGCCACAACUGCACUGAGACACGGGCAGUACAUCUACGGAUGGCAGCAACUGGGAAUAUUGCGCAAUGGGCGAAAGCCUGACGCAGCGACGCCGCGUGGAGGAAGACAGCUCUAGGGUUGUAAACUCCUUUUGCCAAGCUCUUCACAGCUUGGAGAAUAAGCCUCUACUAACUACGUGAGUCCCGCUUGGCGGGAUUAGGCGCGUAGUAUAAAUUUCACUAUAUGCUGGAAACCUUUGUGAAUGCAUAUCUACUGAAAAGUAAAAAUGGUAUGUAAAACCCAAAAAAACCUCGAGACGGUAUAUGGGUUACAAAGCAAUCAGCAGGAAACCUCGCUUUGCGGGGGAUCCUCAGAGACUACACGUGAAAGUAUGUUCACAGGAAAACAUACAAGAUAUAGUCCAUGUUACGAAGUUUGUUUACAAAUAUUCGUGGCCAGAAGUCUCGGUAAUACGUAGGAGGCAAGCGUUAUCCGGAUUUAUUGGGCGUAAAGUGUGCGUAGGUGGUUGAAAAAGUCUUUGCUUAAAGGCUGCGGCUUACCCGUAGUUUUGGUAGAGAUACUCUUCAACUAGAGGGUUGGCAGGGAUGCUGGAACAGGUAGUGUAGCAGUGAAAUGCGUUGAUAUUACUUGGAACACCAAAGGCGAAGGCAAGCAUCUGGGCUUUUCCUGACACUGAGGCACGAAAGCUAGGGGAGCGAAACAGAUUAGAGACCUGUGUAGUCCUAGCCGUAAACGAUGUCCGCUAGCUCUGGGGCAACCCGGGGUGUAAGUUAACACGUUAAGCGGACCGCCUGGGGAGUACGGCCGCAAGGCUAAAACUCAAAGGAAUUGACGGGGACCCGCACAACCAGUGGAGCGUGUGGUUCAAUUCGAGACGAAACGAAGGACCUCACCAGGGUUUGACAUGCUAAAGUUCCAUUUCCUGGAAACAGGAGAAAGUCGCAAGAGGUUAGCACAGGUGCUGCAUGGCUGUCGUCAGCUCGUGCCGUGAGGUGUUCCCUUAAGUGGGGAAACGAGCGCAACCCCCAUUCAAUGUUAAAAUAUUCAUUGAAAACUGACUACGUUCAAACGUGGAAGGAAGGAGGGGAAGACGUCAAGUCAGCAUGGCCUUUAUACCCUGGGCCACACACACACUACAAUGGCGAAAAACAACGAGCAGCGAGUACGCAAGUGCAAGCAAAUCUCUUAAAUUUCGCCUCAGUUCAGAUUGGAGUCUGCAACCCGACUCCAUGAAGCCGGAAUUGGUAGUAAUCGCAGGUCAGCAAACUGCGGUGAAUACGUUCUCGGGUCUUGUACACACCGCCCGUCAAGGCAGCAAAGUCGGGGGUAGCCGAAGGCUCCUGUUAUGGGGGACGAGGCUAAAUCCGGCGAUGAAGCUUAAGUCGUAACAAGGUAUCCCUAGCCGAAGCUGGGGAUGGAUCACCUCCUUU